rnacentral:rRNA from 1 species
UAGGGAAUAUUAGUAAUGGGCGAAAGCCUGAACUAGCAACACCGCAUGUGCGAAGAAGGCCUUCGGGUUGUAAAGCACUUUUUGAGAGGAUGAGGAAAGACGGUACUCUCAGAAUAAGUCUCGGCUAACUACGUGCCAGCAGCCGCGGUAACACGUAGGAGGCAAACGUUAUCCGGAUUUACUGGGCGUAAAGCGCGUGUAGGUGGUUUGGUAAGUAGAGCGUGAAAGCUCCUGGCUCAACUGGGAGAGGUCGUUCUAAACUGCCGGACUAGAGGAUGGUAGAGGGAGGUGGAAUUCCGGGUGUAGCGGUGGAAUGCGCAGAUAUCCGGAGGAACACCAGUGGCGAAAGCAGCCUCCUGGACCACUCCUGACACUCAGACGCGAAAGCUAGGGUAGCAAACG